rnacentral:rRNA from 1 species
GAUGAACGCUAGCUACAGGCUUAACACAUGCAAGUCGAGGGGCAGCAUGAUUGAAGCUUGCUUCAAUCGAUGGCGACCGGCGCACGGGUGAGUAACACGUAUCCAACCUGCCGAUAACUCGGGGAUAGCCUUUCGAAAGAAAGAUUAAUACCCGAUAGUAUAGUAUUUCCGCAUGGUUUCACUAUUAAAGAACUUCGGUUAUCGAUGGGGAUGCGUUCCAUUAGAUAGUUGGCGGGGUAACGGCCCACCAAGUCAACGAUGGAUAGGGGUUCUGAGAGGAAGGUCCCCCACCUUGGAACUGAGACACGGUCCAAACUCCUACGGGAGGCAGCAGUGAGGAAUAUUGGUCGAUGGACGAGAGUCUGAACCAGCCAAGUAGCGUGAAGGAUGACUGCCCUAUGGGUUGUAAACUUCUUUUAUACGGGAAUAAAGUGGAGUAUGCAUACUCCUUUGUAUGUACCGUAUGAAUAAGGAUCGGCUAACUCCGUG